AUCCGGAUUUUCCCAGCACCUGUUCUAUUUCAGGUGUUUCUGGCUGCUUCCCAAAAGCAGAACAUUAUAGCACCCAUUUAAAGUGGAGGCAGCUGAAACCCAACGGAAACUGCAGUCAUUUGCCCCAGGUUCCCAGCUGCCAUGUGGUGGAAGUGGCAUUUUGACCCUGAAUCUCACUCGCUUUUCAUGACCCUUUACUGCGCCCCCCCCACCUGUGGAACAGCAGACACUCGCGGGUCUGUGGCCCCUGGAAUGACUUCAGAAAUUUCCUCCUCGUCCCUCGUCAUAAUCCAGCAGCUUCCUCUGACCCCACUGGGCUACAGGUGGAGCUAGAGGCUCGGGAAGACAAGGAAGGCAGCUGAGGCCGUGAGCAGUGGGGAUGGGCCGGGGUAAGGGCCAGCUUCCUCCCUCUGUGGCUGCCAGAGAGACCCCAGGAGUGCGGGAGACAGACCCCCGAGAGGCCGGCCAGCAACACGCAGCCAGGCCUCCCGCCUCCCAGGAUUGAUGUGGUCUCUGCUCACUGAGCCAUACUGUUUGGCAACCACUGCACCACCUUGGAGGCCAUGCGCUAGUCAAGAAAAAGGUGAUUAAGCUGACAGUGGCAGUUCCCUGCGGCAGGCACUGGGCUGGAGAGACUGCCGUGUCGCCUCUGUUUUCCUGUGUCGGAUAGUUACUGGAUCCGCACUCCGUGCCAGCAUUCCUUGUUGCCAGCCUCACCACCUCAGGCCGGGCCCCUGGAGCGCCGUCAGAGACUGCACUGCCCCUGCAGGGGGCGGGGUCAGGAGAGGCUUCCCACCCACGUCUUAACCGGGCCAGACUCGGGCCUGGUCAGCAAGAGGACCCAGGGGCUCUGGUGUCAGGAGCCCAGGCCCCGCUAGGCCAUGCCACCUCCACAAGCUGCCACAGACUGGGGUGAAGACCCAGCCUGCCCUGAUUGCCUUCUCCUUUCCCCGUUCCCUCGCUCUUGGUCCAGCGUGUAGGGUCAGGGCAAAGCGAGAGGGACAUCAUGCACAUGGGUUCACGUGAGGAUGCAGGAUCCCGAGGUCAGGCUGGGCCUAAGAGGUAGAGAAAACUCAUACUGGGGGCAGCCGGGGGCCUCACAACUGAAGGAAACACAUAGGUUGAGAGGGAGGCAGCAGUUCCACGCCAGGGAAAUGAGGCAAAUAUCAUGGCCACAGCGGGCUCAGCUCAGGCCACGCACAGGAAGAGGACUCACGAGGACAGAACUAGAAAGGCGCUGUAAAACCCAAGCCUCUUGGUUACCCAGGACCGGAAGAAUGUCCCAAGGGAGCCACAGCUGCAGCCACUCGCUGAACCCUCUGUCUGUCAGCGUCCUCCUCGUCUGCCCCAGGAGCAUUUCUCCUACUUUCUUGCAAGUCCUA
rnacentral:lncRNA from 1 species